GUUGCUGGGAUUUGAACUCAGGACCUCUAGAAGAACAUUCUGUGCUCUUAACCACUGAGCCAUCGCUCCAGCCCCUGGCAGUUCCUUAACAUGACAUCAUCCUAUUGUGAAAUAGAGGCUGGACUGCUCUCAUUAAGAGCAACCAGUUUUAUGUAACUUUGAAUCCAGGUAUUUGGUUCCCUCAAUGGACUGCUAUAGAUCCUCUAUAUAUCUAUUGAGUCAAUGUAUAAAUACCAAGAAACAAUAUAUUGCAAACAUAAAUUGUUUGCAAUAAAAUGUGACACUAUACCAGUUCUAUCUCAUAAAUGGGAAAAUCCAUUUUCCUGUCAAAGUUGUUCAAGCUCAACAUUGAGAGUAGUUCCCCAAACAAGAUGUUAAGGUCAGAAACUCAUAUUAAUAGAGACUUUAUACAAUGUGCAUUUCAAGUUACAUUUGUUUAAUCUAGUUUUUCCUGAUUAGGAAAUUCAAUAACUAGAAAAUGUCAGAGCAGGUGUGUGCAGUGAUAUUUGACAUACCCAUUCCAGAAUAUAUUCAUAUACAUCACUAUAACAUAUUGUACUUAAUAGUUGACAAUUAAAAAUAAAAAUAUUAAGUGUAAUGGCUUAGUAUAAAGUAUCUAUGAUCAUGCUUUUUUCUGUUUACUUCUUGAGACAGGGUCUGACAUGUAGUUCUGGCUGUCCUGGACUCAGGUCUCCAGUGCUAGGACUAAAAGUGUCUCCAGCUAUUACAGAUCAUUAUGACAGCUGAAUCUUCCUUUGUUGCAAGCACUCAGAUGGACAGAUUUAAUUAAUAGGUACAGACACAAAAGUCCAUUCUUCAUUGGGUGGCCUAUCUUUUUGUGUCUGUGUGACAGGGUCUCACUGUGUAGUCAUGGCUAACCUUGAACUCACUCUGUAGACCAGGCUGGCCUUUAAACUCACAGAUAUCCACCAGCCUCUGCCUCCUAAAUGCUGGAAUUGUAGAUCUCUUCCACCAUUUCCAACUCAAAACCCUUUCUUCCUUAAAAUUUUGUUUUGAGACAGGGUCUCCUGCAGGAUGACCCUGAAUUCUGGUCCACCUGCCUCCACUUCCUGAGCGCUGAGAUCACAGGUGCCCACAGAGGACAGAAGAGAGCAUCGGAGUUGGAGUUAAAAGAAGUCGUGAGGCACCUGGCAUACAUGAGUUCUUGGAACUGUUAACACAGUUUACUACAAAGACCUUGGAUUGAGUGGUGCUUUUAAAGGGAAAUGCUUUCUUCACAUUUAAAGGAUGUAGGGUGGCAUGGUCGAAUAACUGUAGUCAGGUUUACCUUUUGCUUUUAGAGACUUCAACCAUACAGUGUCUAUGAAGACAGUUGGUUCCAGCUCUCAGUAGUCUCAGGCCCAGGGGUGACUUUUCCAACUGUCAGCUCACCCCAGCAGUUCAGCAGGAGGAAGAACAAGAAGUUGGUUUCAAUCAGCAAUUAUUUUAUGGUUUUGUUUUAAUGUUUCCUGAAUAUCAGAGGUGUCAAUCGUUUGAGGCGAGGGAUGUAAAAAUAGCUUUCUACCUAGGUACUCUCUAGGCACAUGUGGAUUAUUUAGUCAAUAAUUGUAGAGAAAGCUUUACUAAAACAUUUUUUCUUAGUACAAAUGAAUAUGUUCAUUGUAGAAACCUAAGAAAGUAUAAACUUUAGAAGAUAAAUAAAAGUUUUUUUUUUGUAAAAAAAUUGUAUUUACUUAGAAGCAUUCAGAAUGUCAACAAAACAGCCACCAUUUUUUUGCAAUUACAGAGUGGUAUUCAGUUAACAGAACAACAACCUUCGUAUAAGCUGCAUCAGAAACAACUGAAGAUG
rnacentral:sRNA from 1 species